GGAGAAGGAGAAGGAGAAGGAGAAGGAGAAGGAGAAGGAGAAGGAGAAGGAGAAGGAGAAGGAGAAGGAGAAGGAGAAGGAGAAGGAGAAGGAGAAGGAGAAGGAGAAGGAGAAGGAGAAGGAGAAGGAGAAGGAGAAGGAGAAGGAGAAGGAGAAGGAGAAGGAGAAGGAGAAGGAGAAGGAGAAGGAGAAGGAGAAGGAGAAGGAGAAGGAGAAGGAGAAGGAGAAGGAGAAGGAGAAGGAGAAGGAGAAGGAGAAGGAGAAGGAGAAGGAGAAGGAGAAGGAGAAGGAGAAGGAGAAGGAGAAGGAGAAGGAGAAGGAGAAGGAGAAGGAGAAGGAGAAGGAGAAGGAGAAGGAGAAGGAGAAGGAGAAGGAGAAGGAGAAGGAGAAGGAGAAGGAGAAGGAGAAGGAGAAGGAGAAGGAGAAGGAGAAGGAGAAGGAGAAGGAGAAGGAGAAGGAGAAGGAGAAGGAGAAGGAGAAGGAGAAGGAGAAGGAGAAGGAGAAGGAGAAGGAGAAGGAGAAGGAGAAGGAGAAGGAGGAUUAUUCACAUUUUGUUUCCACAGCACCUUCUACCCCUUGGGACACUCCCAUGGUCUAGAAGCAGCCACCCAGAGAGCCAAGGCGCGGGAUGGGGACCACAACCUACUGGCUACACAGAAUAUUCUCCCCUUCCCUGUGGACCCCUGCAGUGAAAUAAGGUACCGCUCUGCCAGGCUCCUCGGUAAGACGCCACACAUUUUAGGACAGAGCUGUAGAGCGGUCCGCGGGGAGAUGGGAGAGGGUCGGAGGAGGACAAAAAGCAGGAGUGUGCCCAUUGGGGCCCCUGAGGACACCCUCACAAGCCGUCUAACCCCAGAGCGGAUAUGGCUGAAGCCGCGCAGAGGCGAGGUCCCCUCCAGCAUCCGCCGCCGCGGAGUCCGGGUGGAGGCGGGGAGCCCCGGGCUGAGGGUCCCUUGCCCGGAGCCCCCGGCGCCGGUGCCCCCGAGGGGCUGGCGGAGCCGGGGGGGGGGGGGGGGGGGGGGGGGGGGGGGGGGGGGGGGGGGGGGGGGGGGGGGGGGGGGGGCCGCCGGUACCGGCACGGUGAGGUGCGAGCGGCUCCGCGGGGGGAGUGACAGCAAAGAGAGUACCGUGCGCCCCUCGGGAGGGUGGGGGGCUGCGGAGGGGCGGCGUUCUGAUUUCUCAGCCGUUUUGUUAAUGAUAACAACGCUUUAAUGCUUUGGUUACAGCACACUCGUCCUUCACGGUAUCUUGCGCCGGGCUGAUUUUAUGAGGGACUGGACCGUGAUAAGGGGAUUUACACUGAAUAGUUCUUAUUGUCCAGUCUGAUGUAUUUAAACUACGCCAAGUUUCAUGGCUACAUCGACAACUCGUUUCAGGCACAAAUAUUGGGACGUCAAGCUGACACAAAUUCCAUCCCUUUCCCUGACCUGCGUCCAUGCGAUUGCACUGGGACAACGGCGGAUGCUCGGGAAAAUAUUUGUUCCUGAAAAUUCGUCGCCUGCACUUUCCCCUAGAGCUCCGCCGGUUCUUGUGAGCAUCCCCGAGAGCGGGGAGCGCGGCAUCGCCACCUCGGCUCCCUGCCGUCCCCCGGCGCUGAUGCGGCUCCCACCGGCUCCCCGCCGGGGGGGGGGGGGGGGGGGGGGGGGGGGGGGGGGGGGGGGGGGGGGGGGGGGGGGGGCCGGCAGCCUCCGAGCCGGAGAGCCGCGUCCUCGCUGCGAGCUUUCUCUGCUUCCCGAACG
rnacentral:lncRNA from 12 species